CCUACGGGUGGCAGCAGUGAGGAAUAUUGGUCAAUGGGCGCGAGCCUGCACCAGCCAAGUAGCGUGAAGGAUGACUGCCCUACGGGUUGUCAACUUCUUUUAUAAAGGAAUAAAGUGAGGCACGUGUGCCUUUUUGUAUGUACUUUAUGAAGAAGGAUAGGCUAACUCCGUGCCAGCAGCCGCGGUAAUACGUAGGUGGCGAGCGUUUUCCGGAAGGAUUGGGCGUAAAGGGUGCGCAGGCGGUCCUGCACGUCGGGGGUGAAACGCAUGAGCUCAACUCAUGCAUGGCUUGGGAAACUGGAGGACUGGAGAGCAGGAGAGGGAGGUGGAACUCCAGGUGUAGCGGUAAAAUGCGUAGAUAUAUGGAAGAACACCAGUGGCGAAGGCGGCCGCCUGGCCUGUUGCUGACGCUGAGGCACGAAAGCGUGGGGAGCAAAUAGGAUUAGAUACCCGGGUAGUC
rnacentral:rRNA from 1 species